CAGCCCAUCUCAUAAGCAUCCUCCUUCGUACUGCUAACAAAGAUUUUGAUAUUUUGCAAAUGGGGUUAUGUCAAUACUACCUUCUUUCCGUCGUGCUGCUUUUGCCUGCAUUGUGUUACUCUCAGUUCACGUUCACAAGUUCUAGAGCUACAUUCUAUGGUAGCCCUGACGGCCUGGGGACACCAGGUGUGUAAAAAUCUCACCUUUAUAAAGCUAUGUACAUUAAACUCGUGCACAAGUUUACGCGAAAUAAUAGUUCAUUUCAUUAUGCUUUGGAGAAUUUUUGUUUUUGUAUUUGUUUAUCUUUUAGAUUAACUAAUGUUCAUGUUGAUGAUUCAUCAGCUGGUGCUUGCGGGUUUGGUGCAUACGGAAGAACUGUAAAUGAUGCUAACGUGGCCGGUGUGUCGAGGCUUUGGAAUAAUGGAACUGGUUGUGGAGCUUGCUAUCAGGUAAUGAUUAUUAACUUUCAACCCACUCAAUCAUUGCAGUUUAUUUUAAAGCUAUAUAAUAAAUGUGUAAAGUGAACGAAUUGCUAAGACGGCUAAGCCUGUGCAUGAAAGGAACUUGAAAACUUUAUUUAUUUAAAUUGUAUUGUUUAUAUAUAUAUAUAAGUAGUUGCAUGCAUAUUCUUCAUAAGACUGCUUAAAUCAUUUCAAAUUCAACAUCGUCGACAAUUUUAUUGCCACUAGUAAUUCUUUUGGUUUUGUACCACCAAUUAAUAAUGAUUAGUUAAUUAAUUAAUUUCAGGUCAGAUGCAAUGUACCAGAUGUUUGCACAGAUUAUGGGGUUCACGUGGUGGUGACCGACUAUGGUGAAGGAGACGACACAGACUUCAUCCUCAGCCCACGCGCAUUUGGAAGAAUGGCACUUGUAGAUAAGUCAGAAGAGCUUUAUACUUUUGGUGUCGUCGACGUUGAAUUCCUGAGAGUCCCUUGCCGGUUCAGAGGCUACAACCUCAAGUUCAAGGUCCAUGAAAACAGCAAGUACCCACAGUACUUGGCCGUAUCCAUGCUGUACGUAGGUGGCCAAAAUGACGUCCAAGCAGUUGAAAUAUGGCAGGUAAUUACUUACAAAUUAACUUCUAAACAAUUGAUUUUUAGCCCGUCCAUCGCAUGUAAUGCUUUUGUUGGUGCAGGAGGAUUGUAAAGACUGGGUGCCGAUGAGAAGGGCUUUCGGUGCAGUAUUUGACAUCUCUAAUCCACCACCAGGAGCAAUUAAUUUGAGGUUUCAAGUGAGUGGCAGCGCGGGGCUCACAUGGGUUGUGGCAAACAAUGCUAUUCCAAAAGUAUGGAAGGCUGGAGUUGCUUAUGAGUCAGCAAUUCAGCUUGCAUAAAUUUGAGAUAUCCCAAGCUUUAUUAUUACUGGUUCCGGGUUAUCAGCUUCUUAAUGUCAUUUAGAUAUUCUAGUAUGUUGUUACUUUAUCUUUUUAUCUUUUUUUUUUUCAGUUUGUUGCUUAAGGGUGUAUUGUGUACUCCUGUCUCCUCAAAACUUAACUAGUUGCUAAAUAAAUAGUGGGAUUGUGUACUUUAAGAUCUUUUGAUCUAACGAGAAAAUUAAUAAAAUUCCGCUCUGGUUAAGAUAAAACCGCUCAUCCGCCUCGUUAGUGGUGUCUCUGUGGGUGUGUGUCUUAUUGAAUUUCUUGUGAUUGUUUAAAUAACUCCAUUAUAUUUCCUCUACUAACAGUAAUCAGUAAAAUUGAUGUAUUAUCAAACAAUAUACAUCGUCGAUAAUAUUUCUUAGUGAUUGCAACACGUUAAAAAAUAUAUUUCAAAUGUAAAAAUUGUAAAAUAAAUUGUCGAGCCAUUCCAUUUUAGAAUUGGAGAUUAGCCAAAUCUUUUGUCAAUUGUUUAUAAAAGUAUGAUAAAUAUCUACCAACUACUCUUUGUUUUGCACUUUAUAAAAAAUAUACUAAAACUUUUUUCUUUUGUGGCUAUCCACGUAAAGUUUACAAAAUUAUCACUUUUUUACUUUUUCAUUAACAUAAUUAAAGAUUUAAUAGAAUAUUAAUUAAACGACCACUAUAUCGUUAAAAUAUUAUUUAAUCCUAACUAGUAGCUAAAUGAUGAAAAAAAAUUCCAAUUUGUAGCUGUUGGAACCAAUAGCAGCUAUAAAUUUAGUUAGAUAAAUUCAUCAAACCUACUAAUUUAACAAUAUAAAAUCACCAAAAUGACCACCAUGACUAAUUUGUAAUUCACUCACAACAUAAAUUCAGAACCUCUGCUCAUAUAAUUCAUCCUAAAUAAUCUUUGACAACAAUAACAAGUCUUGGAAAGCAAUAAAUCACCAAUAAAAACAAUCAUAGUUAUCCAAAAUACAUUUAAAGGAAACAUAAAAGUGGUUAUAAAAAACUUUAAACAUUAUACCUUGCUUCCGUCGAUCAAAAAAGAAAAAUGUAAAACCAAUUAUAAUGAACAUAGAGUUUAUAGUUUGUUUCCAUCAAUUCAAAAUUAAACAUAUUCUAAAAUUAUGUAAAACAACAACUAAGAAAUAAUCUAUUUACAUUUAGGGAUAAAAUAGUUUUUUAUCAACAUCCUAUUAAAUCAUCUAAUGUUAUUAAUGGAAAAGUAGAAAAAUAAUAAAAAAUUGCAAAAGAAAAGUUUUUGGCGUAUUUUUAUUAAAGCGUAGAAUAUUUUUUUUUGGUGUAUUAAAUCAUCUGGUAUUUAAAGACCAUAUUAGGCCCCGACUAAUCCAGCUUCGAGCCGGGUAGGACCACUAGGGCAGCAAAGCUCUCCCAACAAGUAUUUAACGCAGUUGCAUUCCCAAGUCUCGAACCGAGGACCUUGAUUAAGCUAGAACAACCCUAUGCCAGUUGAUCUACGCGCUUGUUGGUAAUAAAGCGUAGAAUAUGUUCACCCAUAAAACUACAUAUAAUAAAUUCUUCAACUAACGUACUACAUUAAUUUCAUCUUCAGCUCUUCCGGUAAGCACUGGCUAACGAAUGAUAUUAGGUACACCAUAAAAGGAAUCCAUUUCUCCUCUUUCGGAAGUGUUGUAGUCUUACUGGCAACGACCAGGACAGAACACUCCUUGGAAGCAUCAUAAUACUUGCACAUAUUAAAGCAGCGACCUUUAACAGAAUUUGACAUUUGGCAUUGGAAGGGAAGAAUGCAUCAAACGAGGGCUGCAUUGACUGUGUUAAGUUCUCCAGAAUCAGAGCAACUGUGGGUAAAGGACCGUUAACUUGCACAAGUUAUCAGCUGUUUUGUACAUUUUGACGCAGUUACUGGUUCGAGUCGUACAUGGGAGUAACAGUUUAUAUGCAUCCAUUAAAAAUCAGAUUAAUGGAACAAGUGAUAUGACUAACAGCAGGGCACUUAAAUUUAAAUGUAUUGUCCAACAAACAAAAUACAGCAUAAUGCAAUUUCACGGACGUACAUACAGACAGACACAUACAUCCUCAUAUUUGUGAGCAUAGGUGAGCCAGAAAGAUGCUAGGACUUGGAACAAGUGAUAUAACCAACAGGGCACUUGAAUGUACCUUUCUGAUGAAAAUCAAAACUACUACUGUUAAUCUCCGUCAGUACAACCGAUCAGUGCAUUUUGAAGAACCACAAAAGCAACUCUUCUUCUUAAUGUUGCCAGACGAGUCAUAAACUUGAUCUAUCACGUAAUUGUAAUGAUAAGUCAGCUCUUGCAGGGGAGGAAUGUUCUCAGCAGCAAAGAGCAUUAUGUGAGGCAUUCUCUUGUUCUCAUGAUCAUAAAGGACAUUUUGGGCAUAAAGAUUAGGCGAACAACUGUGGUUAACAAAUCUCCCCACAUUGCCAUACUCCACUGCAUCAAUGGUAAAUCCACCAUCCUCCACAACUCCACAAGAACUUGAUGGUGCAUCAGGCAUAACAUUUGAAAGUCCACCCAAAGAGAACCAUCAUUAUAAUUAUUCCCAAUAUCAAAUAGAUACUCAUCAUUACUGGUUCUUCUUUCCGCUUCCUUCUCUUCAAGGAGCUCCCCCGCGUACUCACAGAUAAAACUUCCCGAAGGAAUGGAAUUUAGGGAUCUCACACCCCAUCCCCGUGCUUCAGUUUUGAAGAUCUCCAUCUGAAAUUUGAUACCCUGCUGGCUGACUCUAUUAUAGCAAGAAGCUUCAUUACUCUUUUUCAUUGUUUCACUGGCUUGCAUACAAAUACAACAUUAUGCAGGCUAAUUAGUUAAAAGGGAAUGGCUAGGGCCGACAGACGGAUGACGAGGAGCAUAGCUCACCUACCUCAUCUUCCAAUAAAUAGUAAUUUUCCAUUUAUUAAUUGUUCUACAAGCCUCCUCUCUCGUGCAAUAAGUACGUAUGAUUAAUGAGUGCUUCCGUCCCUAAUUGUUAUAGCUAAAUACGUUUGUCUGGCUUGACCCGUUUACUAGUGCGUUACAACCAAAAGACUGAUGGUGAUCAAGUGGGUUAAUCCAGUUGUUGUGAGCCUAUAGCAUUUGCUUUUGACUCGACAAAGCAAUUUAAAAAAACGCCAUUUUGCAUACCGGUACGUCACGUACUAAAUCCAAUUGCUUGGUGCGGUCUCCCUAUUAGCCUUCGGUUCUUGACUCAAUAAGUAAUUUCCAGCUAGUUUCAAUAGGUUUUAAUUCCACCAUUUACUUACCAUAAUGAUCGAGAAUAGGGAUGGCAAUGGGGUGAGGUGGAUGUGGAGAGGCUUAUCCUAUUCCUCAUUCUAUUAAAAAUGUCACCUCUAUUUUUCACCUCAUUCUCCAUUAAAUUUAGAGGAACGGGGACAAAAAAUCUUUAUAUGGAGAAUAAUUUCCUCAUUCCUAUCUCAUUACCCGUUUAUUUAUUUCAUAAUAAGUAUGGAUACGUGGUUUUAGUACGUUAAAAAUUAGAGACUUAAAUAAAAUCAUUAUCAUAUUAUAAAGUAUUUAAAUUAUUUUAAAAAAUUUCCAAAAUUUUGAAACAAUAUCAAAACUGAUAUCAAAACUGAAAAAUGUUUGGAGAGAGCAUCACUUAAUAAUGUUUUAGAGUUGAAUAAUAAUUAUAUUGUAAGGUUUUCUUUUAAUUAUAACCUGUUUAUAUUAGGUAAAAAUUAACAAGAAAAUUUGUUAACCGACAUUGUAUUUGAUAAAACAAAAAAUAUUAAAUAAAAAUUAAAAAAUAUUUAUAUUUAAAUGGAGAGUGAGGUGGUGGUGGGGUGGAGAAUACAAAACCAAAUCUCAUCCCAUUAAGAGUUUGAGGAUUAUUUAUCCCUCGUUUCCUACUAUAUUCCCUAAAAAUUAUUUAAACCCCACGAGAACCAAACCCGUGUAAGAUUUUGCCAUCUCUAAUCGCGAAUCUUGAGUUUUUCCUUGCACCCAAGUCACAAGGUGUGCGCUAUAAGAUCUUUUGGCAUAAUUCAACUGGUUGUAGAUAUUUUCACCCAAAUUCGAAUAGCAAUAAAGAAUAAUGAUUGUUAUUUAGUGGUUUAAGUUUUUCAUCUCCAUUCAAUUUUUAAAAUAAAUAAAUAAAUAGUUUAUGCUAUUAGAACGUCUAAACGAAGCAAACCCAGACCAGUAAUUAACAAUUACAAAACAAUUACUUGGUUGAUAAUAAUGGCAUGGGAGGUGAUUUUAUGAUUUUACUGGUUGCUUUACAACGGUUGAGACUCACUCUCAGCUACCGUCACUGACUCGUGUAGCACUACUUCAAAAGUCUCUGGGUGGCAAAGGAAGUAUCCAAAAUAUGACAGAGAGACAAGUGUUAGACGUAAAGUGAAAAACCUUUAUAUGGAAACUGUAACUUUCUGCUAAUAAUUAUGAUAAUGAGUCCAAUUCAAUUCAAAUAAGGGUCUUGAGGGGUCGAUAAUGGGGUCUACAUUUACGCAUCAUCAAUCUAAUCUAACUCUCUAGUCCCAAGACGAAGAAAAGAGGUGGCAAUUUCCCCUUAGCUGCAGCCCUCAAGGCUUCUACUAUAAAUAUGGCCAUUAACAUUUGUUAGCAACCCAUCUCAGAAGCAUCCUCCUUCGUACUGCUAGCAAAGAUUUUGAUAUUUUGCAAAUGGGGUUAUGUCAAUACUACCUUCUUUCCGUCGUGCUGCUUUUGCCUGCAUUGUGUUACUCUCAGUUCACAUUCACAAGUUCUAGAGCUUCAUUCUAUGGUAGCCCUGACGGCUUGGGGACACCAGGUAUGUAAAAAUCUCACCUUUAUAAAGCUAUGUACAUUAAACUCGUGCACAAGUUGACGCGAACGAAUCGUUCAUUUCAUUAUGCUUUAGAGAAUUUUUGUUUUGGUAUUUGUUUAUCUUUUAGAUUAACUAAUGUUCAUGUCGAUGAUUCAUCAGCUGGUGCUUGCGGGUUUGGUGCAUAUGGAAAAACUGUAAAUGAUGCUAACGUGGCCGGUGUGUCGAACCUUUGGAAUAAUGGAACUGCUUGUGGAACUUGCUAUCAGGUACUGAUUAUUAACUUUCAACCCACUCAAUCAUUGCAGUUUAUUGUAAAGCUAUAUAAUAAAUGUGUAAAGUGAACGAAUUGCUAAGACGGCUAAGCAUGUGCAUGAAAGGAACUUGAAAACUUUAUUUAUUUAAAUUGUAUUGUUUAUAUAUAUAUGUAAGUAGUUGCAUGCAUAUUCUUCGUAAGACUGCUUAAAUCAUUUCAAAUUCAACAUCGUCAACAAUUUUAUUACCACUAGUAAUUCUUUAGGUUUUCUACCAUCAAUUAAUAAUGAUUAGUUAAUUAAUUAACUUCAGGUCAGAUGCAAUGUACCAGAAGUUUGCACAGAUUAUGGGGUGUACGUGGUGGUGACCGACUAUGGUGAAGGAGACGACACAGACUUCGUCCUCAGCCCACGCGCGUAUGGAAGAAUGGCACUUACAGAUAAGUCAGAAGAGCUUUAUACUUUUGGUGUCGUCGACGUUGAAUUCCUGAGAGUCCCUUGCCGGUUCAGAGGCUACAACGUCAUGUUCAAGGUCCAUGAAAACAGCAAGUACCCACAGUACUUGGCCGUAGCCACGCUGUACGUAGGUGGCCAAAAUGACGUCCUAGCAGUUGAAAUGUGGCAGGUAAUUACUUACAAAUUAACUUCUAAACAAUUGAUUUUUGGCCCGUCCAUCGCAUGUAAUGCUUUUGUUGGUGCAGGAGGAUUGUAAAGAAUGGAUGCCGAUGAAAAGGGCUUUCGGUGCAGUAUUUGACAUCUUUUAUCCACCACCAGGACCAAUGAAUUUGAGGUUUCAAGUGAGUGGCAGCGCGGGGCUCACAUGGGUUGUGGCAAACAAUGCUAUUCCCAAAGUAUGGAAGGUUGGAGUUGCUUAUGAGUCAGCAAUUCAGCUUGCAUAAAUUUGAGAUAUCCCAAGCUUUAUUAUUACUGGUUCCGGGUUAUCAGCUUCUUAAUGUCAUUUAGAUAUUCUAGUAUGUUGUUGCCCGGCAUCAGUAAGUGCUGUUACUUUAUCUUCUUUUUUUUAGUUUGUUGCUCAGGGUGUAUUGUGGACUCCUGUCUCCUCAACACUUAACUAGUUGCUAAAUAAAUAGUGGGAUUGUGUACUUUAAGAUCUUUUGAUCUAAGGAGAAAAUUAAUAAAAUUCCGCUCUGGUUAAGAUAAAACCGCUCAUCCGCCUCGUUAGUGGCGUCUGUGUGUGUGUGUGUCUUGUUGAAUUUCUUGUGAUUGUUUAAAUAACUCCAUUAUAUUUCCUCUACUAACAGUAAUCAGUAAAAUUGAUGUAUUAUCAAACAAUAUAAAUCGUCGAUAAUAUUUCUUGGUGAUUGCAACAUGUUAAAAAAUAUUUUUCAAAUGUAAAAAUUGUAAAAUAAAUUGUCGAGCCAUUCCAUUUUAGAAUUGGAGAUUAGCCAAAUCUUUUGUCAAUUGUUUAUAAAAGUAUUGUUUAUAAAAGUAUGAUAAAUAUCUACCAACUACUCUUUGUUUUGCACUUUAUAAAAAAUAUACUAAAACUUUUUUUCUUUUGUGGCUAUCCACGUAAAGUUUACAAAAUUAUCACAUUUUUACUUUUUCAUUAACAUAAUUAAAGAUUUAAUAGAAUAUUAAUAAAACGACCACUACAUCGUUAAAAUAUUAUUUAAUCCUAACUCGUAGCUAAAUGAUGAAAAAAAUUCCAAUUUGUAGCUGUUGGAACCAAUAGCAGCUAUAAAUUUAGUUAGAUAAAUUCAUCAAACCUACUAAUUUAACAAUAUAAAAUCACCAAAAUGACCACCAUGACUAAUUUGUAAUUCACUCACAACAUAAAUUCAGAACCUCUGCUCAUAUAAUUCAUCCUAAAUAAUCUUUGACAACAAUAACAAGUCUUGGAAAGCAAUAAAUCACCAAUAAAAACAAUCAUAGUUAUCCAAAAUACAUUUAAAGGAAACAUAAAAGUGGUUAUAAAAAACUUUAAACAUUAUACCUUGCUUCCGUCGAUCAAAAAAGAAAAAUGUAAAACCAAUUAUAAUGAACAUAGAGUUUAUAGUUUGUUUCCAUCAAUUCAAAAUUAAACAUAUUCUAAAAUUAUGUAAAACAACAACUAAGAAAUAAUCUAUUUACAUUUAGGGAUAAAAUAGUUUUUUAUCAACAUCCUAUUAAAUCAUCUAAUGUUAUUAAUGGAAAAGUAGAAAAAUAAUAAAAAAUUGCAAAAGAAAAGUUUUUGGCGUAUUUUUUUUAAAGCGUAGGAUAUUUUUUUUCGGUGUAUUAAAUCAUCUGGUAUUUGAAGACCACAUUAGGCCCCCACUAAUCCAGCUUCGAGCCGGGUAAGACCACUAGGACAACAAAGCUCUCCCAAUAAGUAUUUAACGCAGUUGCAUUCCCAAGUCUCGAACUGAGAACCUUGAUUAAGCUAGAACAACCCCAUGCCAGUUGAUCUACGCGCUUGUUGGUAAUAAAGCGUAGAAUAUGUUCACCCAUAAAACUACAUAUAAUAAAUUCUUCAACUAACGUACUACAUUAAUUUCAUCUUCAGCUCUUCCGGUAAGCACUGGCUAACGAAUGAUAUUAGGUACACCAUAAAAGGAAUCCAUUUCUCCUCUUUCGGAAGUGUUGUAGUCUUACUGGCAACGACCAGGACAGAACACCCCUUGGAAGCAUCAUAAUACUUGCACAUAUUAAAGCAGCGACCUUUAACAGAAUUUGACAUUUGGCAUUGGAAGGGAAGAAUGCAUCAAACGAGGGCUGCAUUGACUGUGUUAAGUUCUCCAGAAUCAGAGCAACUGUGGGUAAAGGACCGUCAACUUGCACAAGUUAUCGGCUGUUUUGUACAUUUUGACGCAGUUACUGGUUCGAGUCGUACAUGGGAGUAACAGUUUAUAUGCAUCCAUUAAAAAUCAGAUUAAUGGAACAAGUGAUAUGACUAACAGCAGGGCACUUAAAUUUAAAUGUAUUGUCCAACAAACAAAAUACAACAUAAUGCAAUUUCACGGACGUACAUACAGACAGACACAUACAUCCUCAUAUUUGUGAGCAUAGGUGAGCCAGAAAGAUGCUAGGACUUGGAGCAAGUGAUAUAACGAACAGGGCACUUGAAUGUACCCUUCUGAUGAAAAUCAAAACUACUACUGUUAACCUCCGUCAGUACAACCGACCAGUACUUUCUGAAAAACCACAAAAGCAACUCUUCUUCUUAAUGUUUCCAGACGAAUCAUAAACUUGAUCUAUCACGUAAUUGUAAUGAUAAGUCAGCUCUUGAAGGGGAGGAAAGUUCUCAGCAGCAAAGAGCAUUACGUGAGGCAUUCUCUUGUCCUCAUGAUCAUAAAGGACGUUUUGGGCAUAAAGAGUAGGCGAACAACUGUGGUUAACAAAUCUCCCCACAUUGCCAUACUCCACUGCAUCAAUGGUAAAUCCACCAUCCUCCACAACUCCACAAGAACUUGAUGGUGCAUCAGGCAUAACAUUCGAAAGUCCACCCCAAAGAGAACCAUCAUUAUAAUUAUUCCGAACAUCAAACAGAUACUCAUCAUUACUGGUUCUUCUUUCCGCUUCCUUCUCUUCAAGGAGCUCCCCCGCGUACUCACAGAUAAAACUUCCCGAAGGAAUAGAAUUUAGGUAUCUCACACCCCAUCCCCGUGCUUCAUUUUUGAAGAUCUCAAACUGAAAUUUGAUACCCUGCUGGCAGACUCUAUUAUAGCAAGAAGGAGGGCACUUGCAAGAAGGACCAGACUCAUAGACAAGGGGCUUUGCCUGAACAAAGGCCCCAUUGUGGUUGUAAGGAAGCUCACCUCCAAUUUUAGCCACACAAGCACAUUUCCCCCAACUCUGAACACCCAUUAAUGCAAUCACAACCCUCUGGAGGAACAGGACGGCAGCAGUCAGGAUAUAUAACAUGAGGAUCGACACAAAUAAUGAUGAAUUGUGACAAUAAUUAGCAUUGUCAAAUAAGUAAAAAUCAGAACUCUUCCUGCGCUUGAUGUUGUUCUGUUAACGAGUGGCCUUGUACGAGCGACCAUUUUCAGUCUAGGCGUCCUUUGGGGUUCUGCCGGUAUAAUUUUUAUUGUAGAGAUCGGAAUUCCUCAAAACUAAGAGGGGUCUUCUCCGCCUUUCGACUGCUACUUACUAUAAAAAAAAAAAAACUCAUUUUUGCGAUGAUGCAGUUUCGAAUAUUUAUUUGAACAGAAAAGGAGUUUAAGAAAAGCUUCUCUAAUAAGUUAUUACACUACAAAUGGUUGGUUUCGACUUCCUUGGGGAAGUGUCAAAUAGCCCUAUGUAGUGUGUCCCAUUCAUUACUCUUUUUCAUUGUUUCACGGGCUUGCAUACAAAUACAACAUUAUGCAGGCUAAUUAGUUAAAAGGGAAUGGCUAGGGCCGACAGAUGGAUGACGAGGAGCAUAGCUCACCUAACCCCAUCUUCCAAUAAAUAGUAAUUUUCCAUUUAUUAAUGGAAAACUCUCUAGUUCUUUAGCACUACUCUUUAUUAAUUGUUCUACAAGCCUCCUCUCUCGUGCAAUAAGUACACUUGGUUUUUUUUUUUUUUUUUAUCUUACAUCGCACCAAACGUGUCAAAAACCACAAAGUUUAAAACUGAUUUUGUGUUUUGCAGUGCAACAACUGCUAACUCAAUUAUGAUUAAUGACUGCUUCCGUCCCUAAUUGUUAUAGCUAAAUACGUUUGUCUGGCUUCACCCGUUUACUAGUGCGUUACAACCAAAAGACUGAUGGUGAUCGAUUGGGUUAAUCCAGUUGUUGUGAGCCUAUAGCAUUUGCUUUUGACUCGACAAAGCAAUUUAAAAAAACGCCAUUUUGGAUACCGGUACGUCACGUACUAAAUCCAAUUGCUUGGUGUGGUCUCCCUAUUAGCCUUCGGUUCUUGACUCAAUAAGUAAUUUCCAGCUAGUUUCCAUAGGUUUUAAUUCCACCAUUUACUUAGCAUAAUGAUCGAGAAUAGGGAUGGCAGUGGGGUGAGGUGGACGUGGAGAGGCUUAUCCUAUUAAAAAUGCCGCCUCUAUUGUUUACCUCAUUCUCCAUUAAAUUCAGAGGGGCGGGGACGAAAAAUUCCUAUAUGGAGAAUAAUUUCCUCAUUCCAACCCCAUUCUCUAUUUAUUUAUUUCAUAAUAAGCAUGGAUAUGUGGUUUUAGUACAUUAAAAAUUAGAGACUUAAAUAAAAUCAUUAUCAUAUUAUAAAGUAUUUUAAUUAUUUUAAAAAAUCUCCAAAAUUUUGAAAUAAUAUCUUCAACUGAUAUCAAAACCGAAAAAUGUUUGGAGAGAGCACCACUUAAUAAAGAAAAGAAAACAUAAUAAUGUUUUAGAGUUGAAUCAUAAUUAUAUUGUAAGGUUUUCUUUUAAUUAUAACCUGUUUAUAUUAGGUAAAAAUUAACAAGAAAAUUCGUUAACCGACAUUGUAUUUGAUAAAACAAAAAAUAGUAAAUUAAAAUUUAAAAAAAUAUAUAUAUAAUGGAGAGUGAGGUGGUGGUGGGGUGGAGAAUACAAAACCAAAUCCCAUCCCAUUAAGAGUUUGAGGAUUAUUUCUCACUCAUUCCCUACUCUAUUCCCUAAAAAUUAUUUAAAUACCAUGAGAACCCAAACCUGUGUAAGAUUUUGCCAUCUCUAAUUGCGAAAUCUUGAGUUUUCUCUUGCACGCAAGUCACAAGGUGUGUGCUAUUAGAUCUUUUGGCAUAAUUCAGCUGGUUGUAGAUAUUUUCACCCGAAUUCAGAUAGCAAUUAGAUCUUUUGGCAUAAUUCAGCUGGUUGUAGAUAUUUUCACCCAAAUUCAAAUAGCAAUUAAGAAUAAUGAUUGGUGUUUAGUGGUUUAAGUUUUUCAUCUCCAUUCAAUUUUUAAAAUAAAUAAAAAGAUAAAUAAUUUAUGCUAUUAGAACGUCUAAACGAAGCAAAACCAAAGUACCAAACCAGUAAUUAACAAUUACAAAACAAUUACUUGGUUGAUAAUAAUGGCAUGGGAGGUGAUUUUAUGAUUUUAUUGGUUGCUUUACAACGGUUGAGACUCACUCUCAGCUACCGUCACUGACUCGUGUAGCACUACUUCAAAAGUCUCUGGGUGGCAAAGGAAGUAUCCAAAAUAUGAAAGAGAGACAAGUGUUAGGCAUAAAGUGAAAAACCUUUAAAUGGAAUUUGUAACUUUCUGCUAAUAUUUAUGAUAAUGAGUCGAAUUCAUUUCGAAUAAGGGUCUUGAGGGGUCAAUAAUGGGGUCUACAUUUACGCAUCAUCAAUCUAAUCUAACUCUCUAGUCCCAAGAGGAAGAAAAGAGGUGGCAAUUUCCCCUUAGCAGCAGCCCUCAAGGCCUCUACUAUAAAUAUAGCCAUUAACAUUUGUUAGCAACCCAUCUCAUAAGCUUCCUCCUUCGUACUGCUAACAAAGAUUUUGAUAUUUUGCAAAUGGGGUUAUGUCAAUACUACCUUCUUUCCGUCGUGCUGUUUUUGCCUGCAUUGUGUUACUCUCAGUUCACGUUCACAAGUUCUAGAGCUACAUUCUAUGGUAGCCCUGACGGCUUGGGGACACCAGGUGUGUAAAAAUCUCACCUUUAUAAAGCUAUGUACAUUAAACUCGUGCACAAGUUUACGCGAAAUAAUAGUUCAUUUCAUUAUGCUUUGGAGAAUUUUUGUUUUUGUAUUUGUUUAUCUUUUAGAUUAACUAAUGUUCAUGUUGAUGAUUCAUCAGCUGGUGCUUGCGGGUUUGGUGAAUAUGGAAAAACUGUAAAUGAUGCUAACGUGGCCGGUGUGUCGAGGCUUUGGAAUAAUGGAACUGCUUGUGGAGCUUGCUAUGAGGUAAUGAUUAUUAACCUUCAACCCACUCAAUCAUUGCAGUUUAUUGUAAAGCUAUAUAAUAAAUGUGUAAAGUGAACGAAUUGCUAAGACGGCUAAGCCUAUGCAUGCAUGAAAGGAACUGUAAAACUUUAUUUAUUUAAAUUGUAUUGUUUAUAUAUAUAAGUAGUUGCAUGCAUAUUCUUCGUAAGACUGCUUAAAUCAUUUCAAAUUCAACAUCGUCAACAAUUUUAUUACCACUAGUAAUUCUUUAGGUUUUGUACCAUCAAUUAAUAAUGAUUAGUUAAUUAAUUAACUUCAGGUCAGAUGCAAUGUACCAGAACUUUGCACAGAUUAUGGGGUGUACGUGUUGGUGACUGACUAUAGUGAAGAAGACGACACAGAAUUCAUCCUCAGCCCUCGCGCAUAUGGAAGAAUGGCACUUACAGAUAAGUCAGAAGAGCUUUAUACUUUUGGUGUCGUCGAUGUUGAAUUCCUGAGAGUCCCUUGCCGGUUCAGAGGCUACAACGUCAUGUUCAAGGUCCAUGAAAACAGCAAGUACCCACAGUACUUGGCCGUAUCCAUGCUGUACGUAGGUGGCCAAAAUGACGUUCUAGCAGUUGAAAUAUGGCUGGUAAUUACUUACAAAUUAACUUCUAAACAAUUGGUUUUUGGCCCGUCCGUCGCAUGUAAUGCUUUUGUUUGUGCAGGAGGAUUGUAAAGAAUGGGUGGCGAUGAGAAGGGCUUUCGGUGCAGUAUUUGACAUCUUUUAUCCACCACCAGGAGCAAUUAAUUUGAGGAUGCAAGUGAGUGGCAGCGCAGGGCUCAGAUGGGUUGUGGCAAACAAUGCUAUUCCCAAAGUAUGGAAAGCUGGAGUUGCUUAUGGGUCAGCAAUUCAGCUUGCAUAAAUUUGAGAUAUCCCAAGCUUUAUUAUUACUGGUUCCGGGUUAUCAGCUUCUUAAUGUCAUUUAGAUAUUCUAGUAUGUUGUUGCCCAGCAUCAGUAAGUGCUGUUACUUUAUCUUUUUAUCUUUUUUUUUUUUUUUCAGUUUGUUGCUUAGUGUGUAUUGUGGACUCGUGUCUCCUCAACACUUAACUAGUUGCUAAAUAAAUAGUGGGAUUGUGUACUUUAAUUAGAUCUUUUGAUCUAAUCAACGAAGGAGUAAAUUAAUAAAAUUCUGCUUUCUUUAAGAUAAAAUCGCUCAUUCGCCUCGUUUGUGGUGUCUGUGUGUGUGUGUCUUGUUUAAUUUCUUCUGAAUAUUUAAAUAACUCCUUCAACUAAUAGUAAUCAGUAAAAUUGAUGUAUUAUCAAACAACAUACUUCGUCGAUAAUAUUCCUUGGUGAUUACAACAUGUUAAACAAUAUAUUUCAAAUCUAAAAACUGUAAAAUAAAUGGAGGAGCCAUUCCAUCUUAGAAUUGGAGAUUAGCCAAAUCUUUUGUCAAUUGUUUAUAAAAGUAGGAUAAAUAUCUACCAACCACUCUUUGUCUGGCACUUUAUAAAAAAUAUACUAAUUUUUUUUUUCUUUUGUGGUUAUCCACGUAAAGUUUACAAAAUGUAUCACUUUUUUUUUACUUUUUCAUUAACAUAAUUAAAGAUUUAAUAGAAUAUUAAUUAAACGACCACUAUACCGUUAAAAUAUUAUUUAAUCCUAGCUAGUACCUAAAUGACGAAAAAAAAUUCUAAUUUGUAGCUGUUGGAACCAAUAGCAACUAUAAAUUUAGUUAGAUGGAUUCAUCAAACCUACUAAUUUAACAAUAUAAAAUCACCAAAAUAACCACCAUAACUAAUUUGUAAUUCAUUCACAACAUAAAUUCAGAACCUCUGCUCAUAUAAUCCAUCCUAAAUAAUCUUUGACAACAAUAACAAGUCUUUGAAAGCAAUAAACCACCAAUAAAAACAAUCAUGGUUAUCCAAAAUAUAUUUAAAGGAAACAUAAAAGUAGUUAUAGAAAACCUUAAACAUUACCAAUUAUGAUGAAGAUAGAGUUUACAGUUUGUUUCCAUCAAUUCAAAAUAAAACAUAUUCUAAAAUUAUCUAAAACAACAACUAAUAAAUAAUCUAUUUACAUUUAGGGGAUAAAAUAGUCUUUUAUCAACAUCCUAUUAAAUCAUCUUAAUGCUAUUAAUGGAAAAGUAGAAAAAUAAUAAAUAACUGUAAAAGAAAAGUUUUUGGUGUAUUUUUAAUAAAGCGUAGAAUAUAUUUACCCAUAAAACUACAUAUAAUAAAUUCUUCAACUUAACGGUUGUGGCUCAGUUGGCGACACAGGCUGGGUAAGUGGGAAGAGCUCUCGAGUUCGAUUCCUACUAAACACACCAUUUGGGAGGGGUAAAGAGCCUUAACUGUAACUACACCCCGAAUCCGGAUUAGUCGGGGCCCAAUGCGGUCGCCGGAAAUCGGGUGGUUUAAACAAAAAACAAAAAUUCUUCAACUAACGUACUACAUUAAUUUCAUCUUCAGCUCUUCCGGUAAGCACUGGUUAAUGAAUGAUUUUAGGUACACCAUAAAAGGAAAAAAAAAAUGUAAUUUGUUACACUUCUCAUACGCAAACAACAAAUAAAGCAUGUUCAAAAUGAUACUGCUACGUGUAUUUGGAAAAAUAAAUUAACAAGAAGUGACGGCACAAUAUCUAUUUCUCCUCUUUCAGAAGUGUUGUAAUCUUACAGGCAAUAACCAGGACAGAACACCCCUUGGAAGCAUCAUAAUACUUGCCCAUAUUAAAUCAGCGUCCUUUAACAGAAUUUGACAUUUGGCAUUGGAAGCGAAGAAUGCAUCAAUCAAGGGCUGCAUUGACUGUGUUAAGUUCUCCAGAACCAGAGCAACUGUGGGUAAAGGACCGUCAACUUGCACAAGUUAUCGGCUGUUUUGUACAUUUUGACGCAGUUACUGGUUCGAGUCGUACAUGGGAGUAACAGUUUAUACGCAUCCAUUAAACAUCAGAUAAAUUUAAGUGUACGUCCUAGAUUCAAAAGCCUUUGUAUCACCACGGAUCACUCUUACAGGAUUCUGUUCAUGUAUGCUGUUCGCUAGAGCUAGAUUCCCUCGUUCAAGCUUCUGAUCUUCAGGUUCCUUGCCUCCGUUCAUCACAUUCCCUCCCUGACCAGUGUAAAUCAAAACAUCUGAGUUGUCCAAGUUAUCAUCGUAACCCCGAGAUGCUACAAUACUUGUAGCAAUAUAUUUUCCCUUGCGCUUGACAUAAUCUAUACCACCCUGAAUUUGGAGAUGAAGACCAAUCAUAUUGAGCUCCACCCUGUAUUGAAACUCGUCGCCCACUUCAACUCCUGGAACCGAUCCAAUGACUAUUUUUGUCGACAGGGAUGUUGUUGUUACUUGAAUAAGAAAAGAAAACAAAGUUUACAGAUGGAAAUGAGAGCCACGUGAAUUGUAAAGAGAACUUCACUCAAUUCAUUAACUGAAAACAUUAAACUUUAAAGCUUAAAUAACACACCAAAACCAAAUAACAACCCACUAGAAUCAUGGUCCAAAGAUUGUGCCACGAUCACAGCAAGAAUCAACAAAAUAAAUAACCAACACCAGAAAAAUAGGAAAAGUUUGAAACAUUCAACAGAAGCAAAUUCUAUGACUCCACAUCAGCAGUCCUAAACACAUCUUCUAACAGAUGUAUUUCUUUUUGUCCUUGAGAAUCCUUGCUGCUAGGUAAUCAACCCUCUUAUGAGAAUUUUGUCUGCUGGGUUUUGCUUCUUCUUCGUGCAACAGCUUCCUACAAACAGCUUGAAACAGACACAAUGUCUCCCUCACCUUGUUUCGGGCACCAAUAGCAUCAUUUUCAGGACCUUUACCACUUGAACUCCUGGGAUGAGGGAGGGUCACAUAAAAAACGUGGGCAUGUGCGCCUUUGGUUGCAUUCCGCCUAUGAGUCAAUCAAUGAUCCUAUUAUCGACUUAAAUAAUGACUUAGACAUCAAAAGGGUUCAAGCAUACCUUUUGCACACUAGAGCGGGGGUGCUACGCAUGUAAUAGUAAAAGUCUAUAAAUCUGCUAAUUUUGGUGAAAGUAUCCUUAUGGUAUAUUUUAUAGUACUACAGUAGGACCAAGUUGAGACAUAUGGUAAAUAAACAGAAUAAUUUAUUUUUCUACAAAUCUAUAGGGAUCCUUGUGAGAAUAACUCGCGUUCCCAUCAUUUUUAAUAAAACCCACAAACUCUUCCCCCUUUCACACUACACUAAACUCAAACUCCCCUCUCUCUCUCUCAUGCAACUCCAAAACUAAAAACACUCACUAGAUCAUCCAAAUUUUUCGCAAAGUGUAGGAAGGGGAUGCUGCGAUAAGAUAAGUAGUUUAGAGACAUCAACCAUACACAUACUUUGGGCCCAAGUCUCCACAGUAUUAUUCCAUUAUUAACACUAGUGGUGCAUGUCCCAUUAAGGAGGGUGAUGUCAUUAUUCGAGUCCAUUAUAAGGACAGUCACUAUCUCUAUUUGAUCUCCCUCCCCCCUCCUUUCUCUUCCAAUUAGUUGAUGCAUAUUUAGGGACUUGACAUCAGACACCAGUGGUGUCGACACCAUUGAAUAAAUUAGAGUAUUCCAGUAUAUGCAAUGCUCAACAGUUGCUUUUGUUUUCUCUGUAUUACAUUUAUGUUUCAAACUUUGUCAUAUUCUAACAUGAGGAUCGACACAAAUAAUGAUGGAUUGUGACAAUAAUUAGCAUUGUCAAAUAAGUAGAAAUCAGAACUCUUCCUGCACUUGAUGUUGUUCUGUUAACGAGUGGCCUUGGACGAGCGACCAUUUUCAGUCUAGGCGUCCUUUGGGGUUCUGCCAGUAUAAUUUUUGUUGUAGAGAUCGGAAUUCCUCAAAACUAAGGGGGGUCUUGACACCGGACACAAUAGAUGAGAAAACACAACGUCACACACCCAAGAAUAGGGAUGGCAAAAUCCGGGUCCGGGUCCGGGUUCGGUCUUUUCGGUUCCGGACCCGGAUGACAAUUUUGUUAUACCGGACCCGGAUAUAACCCGGAUAUUUUAAUUCCGGGUCCGGACCGGGUUGAACCCGGAAAAAUCCGGGUUUCCGGAUUGCGGGUUCCAAACCCGGAUAUCUAUUACAAUUUUUUUUUUCUCUCGAUGUUACUUCCUCAAAUCUCCAAAUCUCAAAUCACCAAAAUCCCGAAACCAUAGCUAAAUGAAUGUUGAGGGAGGAUUGCUGAGUUUUCAGAUUUUUGGUGGCAUUGGUGUUGUCGUCGGCGUUGAGGAGAGCAUCGUCAGAAAGUUGCUGUGGAGAUUCGGCAGUUUCUGGUGACAAAAAACCAGCAAGAGUGGCGGAAAGCAGCCGUCAAAAACCAGCAAGAGUGACAAAAAAUGAGGAUCAGCCUUCAUGGGCGCAUUCCUCUUUGUCUUCCUUUCAAUACAAAGAUUUUUCCAAGUCAUUUGAGUGAAUGAAAGAGAAAUUGGAGAGCAGCUGCAGUGGGUUUUAAUGAAAAGAGAAGAUGGAGAAGAAAGAAAGAGAAAUUGGAGAAGAAAGAAACGGCUGCACUAGGUUAAGACUUAAGGCAUUAGGGUUUUUUUUUUCUUUUAUACUUAAAAUAUCCGGGUCCGGGUUUCGGACAUCCGGGUUGAGAUAAAACCGGAUCCGGACCGGAAUGCAUCCGGGUUCAAAAUAUCCUUUUCGGAUCCGGAUUGUAUUAUCUUCCGGUGCGGGUUAAACCCGGACCGGAUUAUCCGGGUUUAUCCGGGUUCGAUCCGGGUCCGGGUUAAUUUGCCAUCCCUACCCAAGAAAUCACAAGCUCACCACUACAGCAAACAACAAAAGGAUACAGAAAAAUUCACCACCUAAAGUUGUUAAGCUAAGGAUACAGGGCUUAAAAAUACUCACCACUCAAUGGAAUCCACCAAAGAGAUACAGAGUUUGAUAAUAACUCAAAGUUCAUCCAAUUCCUAAAAUUAAUCUCUAUCCUUUGGUUACAACUACAUAAGCUUAAAUAACUUUCUUGGAACAAUCCUCCAAGCAUAGAUAUACUACAAAGAAACCCUUCAAAUGACUUGGCUUCAAAGACCAACAUUAAAGCUAGACAUUAAUAAAACAUUGGUAUGCUUAAAACACAGCAAAGAGCAUUAAAAUAAAGUCCAAGUCCAGAAAUAUUCUUCUUGACUCAAAAUUGAACAGCCUGCACUUAACUGAUCAUAACUUACUGUAGAAAGCUCCAAAUUUAGAUUAGUAAAAUUCAUUGGAAAGCUAACAGCAAUAUCUUUCCAAUGAUGUAUGGCUCGAAAAUUAAUUCAAUCUCAUACAGUACAGUUUAAUUCCCAAAUAUGCCCCUUCUACACAGAAAUUCUGCUCACUUGAUUAAUGUAAGAACUUGAACUGCACUUGGUAUAACUUGAAUACCAAAUAUUUCAAACACCCAUGUGUUAAUCUCCCCUAGUUGAAAAAAAUUCGACCUGGAGUUUUGAUCAUUUUCUUCAUGAUAAGGAAACAAGUCUGAUAUGUUGAAUGUUGACGAAACACCAUAGCCAUCUAGUAGCUCAAUCUUGUAAGCAUUAUCACCAAUGCGUUGCAACACUUUAAAUGGUCCAUCAGCCCUUGGUCUAAGCUUAGCAUACAUCCUAGGUGGAAAACGAUCUUUUCUAAGAUGAACCCAAACCAAAUCUCCUUCCUGAAACUUAGCAUGUUUUCGAUGCUUGUCUGCAGAAUUUUUAUACUUCUCAUUUUGCUUCAAUAUUCUAUCUCGAACCUAUUCAUGCAUCUUCUUAAUACUUUUAGAGCAUUCUUCAGCCUCUCCACUAAAUUGAUGAUCAGUCAAAAGUGGAGCCAAAUCCAAAGGGCUGAUUGGAUUCUUGCCAUAAACUACUUCAAAGGGACUUGAACCAGUAGUUUGAUGUAUGGAGUGAUUGUAAGCAAAUUCAAUCUGAGGCAAAAUAAGAUCCCAUUGACGAAUGUUCUUGCCCACAUAACUUCUCAAGAGAUUUCCCAAGCUUCGAUUCGUCACUUCAGUCUGACCGUCAGUUUGAGGAUGAUGAGACGAGCUGAAUUUAAGAGUGGUUCCCAACUUCUUCCAAAAAGUACGCCAAAAGUGACUCAAAAACUUUGAAUCUCGAUCAGAGACAAUAGUUUUCGGAAUUCCAUGUAGCUUCACAAUCUCCUUGAAGUACAAAUCAGCCACAUGAGAGGCAUCUAAUGUCUUGUUACACGGAACAAAAUGAGCCAUUUUUUAGAAUCGAUCAACCACUACCAUGACAGAGUCUUUGUUUCUUUGAGUUCUUAGCAACCCAACAACAAAGUCUAGACUAACAUCUUCCCAAGGAGCUUCAGGGACUGGUAAAGGAUUGUAUAGGCCUAUGUUUUGACCAUGAGCUUUGGCAAUAUGACAGAUUUUACACCUCUGCACAUGAUGCACAAUAUCUUUAUCCAUCUUUGGCCAAUAGAAAUUACCUUGCAAGCAAGCUAACGUCUUAUCCCUUCCAAAGUGACCUCCAACAGCACUGCCAUGUGCCUCCAUGAUAAUAGAUUCCCGCAAAGAACAUUGAGGAAUACAUAAACGAUUCCCCUUGAAAAGAAAGCCAUCAUGCAAUUGGUACUGAUCAUAUGAUCCAUUCUCACAUUCUCUCCAAAUCCUGCCAAAGAAAGAAUCAUCCUUGUAUAGCUCUUUUAAAAUUUCAAAGCCUACAACCUUCACUUGCAUAGAAGAAAGCAAGGAAUGUUUUCGACUUAAAGCAUCAGCCACAACAUUCUGAGCACCCGAUUUAUGCUUGAUGGUAAAAUUGUAAGCUUGAAGAAACUCCACCCAUCCGGCAUGUUUUCUACUAAGCUUCUGCUGACUAUUGAUAAACUUUAGUGCCUCAUGGUCGGAGAAGAGAAUAAAUGGCCUUGAAAGCAAAUAUUGACUCUAAUGGUUCAAAGCUCGGCAAAUAGCAUACAAUUCUUUGUCAUAAGUUGAGUACUUUCUGCGGGAGUCAUUCAAUUUUUCACUAAAGAAAGCGACUAUUUCCUUUCUUGGCUGAUUACAGCACCAAUUCCAGUAUUAGAGGCAUCACACUCAACUUCAAACACCUUGCUGAAAUCUGGAAGUGAAAGAACAGGCGCUUCAGUCACCUUUCUCUUGAUGAUGUCAAAACUCUCUUGUGCCUCUUUGGUCCAUUUAAAACCUUCUCCUUUCAAGCAUUCAGUUACUGGAGCAACAAUUGUACUAAACCCUCUGAUAAAUCGUCGAUAAAAAGAAGCAAGAGCAUGAAAACUUCGGAUGUCAUGUAGCGACUUAGGAAUUGGCCAGCUCAAAAUGGCCUCCACCUUGCUUGGAUCCAUUUUAAUUUCAUCUUUCGAUACAACAUAACCCAAAAAGACAAGGCUAUCAGUGAAGAACCUGCACUUUUUCAAGUUGACAUAAAGCUUUUGAUUUCUCAAAAUCUCGAAGACUUGGCGAAGAUGCUCCAAGUGUUGGUUUUCAUUUUGGUUGUACACAAGGAUGUCAUCAAAAUACACAACAACAAAUCUACCAAUCAGAGGCUUAAAAAUGUGAUUCAUCAGCCGCAUGAAAGUGCUUGGGGCAUUAGAUAGACCAAAUGGCAUAACCAUCCAUUCAUAAAGUCCAUCCCUCGUUUUGAAGGCCGUUUUCCAUUCGUCACCAGGUCUCAUUCUGAUUUGAUGAUAGCCACUUCGAAGAUCGAUCUUAGAAAAGAUUGUAGCACCAUAGAGCUGGUCUAGAAGAUCGUCAAGGCGUGGAAUAGGAAAACGAUAAUCAAUCGUUAUCUUAUUCACUGCUCUGCUGUCAACACACAUACGCCAAGACCCAUCUUUCUUUGGUACCAAUAAGGCAGGAACAGCACAAGGACUUUUGCUAUCUCUCACCAACCCUUUCCUUAUAAGCUCUUCAACUUGCCUCUGUAAUUCUUCGUGCUCCUUUGGAUUCAUUCGAUAAGCCGCUUUAUUUGGUAGUACAGAACCCGGAAUAAGAUCAAUGCAAUGUUGAAUAUCCCUCAUGGGAGAAAGGCCAUGUGUUAAUUCUUCUGGAACAACAUCUGAGAAUUCUUUAAGAAAAUACUUCAUAAUCAAAGGCAGCUCAUUACUAUCUUCAUUUUCCUCAAACACCACCAGCACGUAAACUUCACUACCCAUUUCCAAUUCUUUUUUACAAUCUGAAAUAGUCAGCAAAUUGUUUUCCACUCCUUUGAUAGGUUUAGAACUUUUCUCUACCUUUGAAGGACCCAAAAUGACUUUACUUCCAUCUUUAAUGAAAUUAUAAGUAUUCCUAUAACCAUCAUGAACAACCCUUCUAUCGUACUGCCAAGGACGACCCAAAAGCAAGUGACAUGCAUCCAUAGGGACAACAUCGCACCAAACUUCAUCUUUAUAUUUAUUCCCAAUAGAAAAUGAAAUAAGGCAACGUGUGUUACCUCAAUCUCAUUUCCCUUUUUAAGCCAAGAAAGUUUAUAAGGCUGAGGAUGCUGCUCCGUUUUGAGCUUCAACUUCUUCACCAUUUCAGUUGCUAUCACAUUCUCAAAACUGCCACUAUCAAUAAUGACAUUACAUACAUUUCCAUGACAAGUGCAUCUGGUGUGAAAGAUAUUCUUUCUCAGCCAAUCUUCCCCAUCUUCACAAACAAUACUCAAACUCUUUUGAAUAACCAGAGAGUUUCCAUUAUCAGCAUAUGUAACUUCUCUAUCUUCAACAUCCUUUUCGACACUAGGAUUCUCAUGAUCUUCUGCAUCCUCGUCAUCGCUUUCCUCUUCAACAAGGGCAACCACCCUACGAUUAGGACACUCAGAAGCAAUGUGCCUAUAACCAUGGCAUUUAAAACAUUGACGAGAACUAGCAUUCGAACCACUUGCUCGCUGUUUAGAUCUUUCCCCGAUAUCAUUCCUCGUAAUUUUCUUUGCAGUAGAAUUCGAACCAGAAUUAUGCUUAGAAACGAAGCCACUCCCUCGAUUGACAUCACGAACUGUGAACCGAAUACCCCCACCACGAGCUUCUUUUUGUUGCUUUUCCACCUUAAGAGCAAGUCUGCAUACAUCACUAUAAGUCCAAUAUGGUUGGAGCUGCACCACAUUACCAAUCUCAGGUUUUAAACCACCCAGAUAGCGUGCGAUCGUAUGCUCUUCCACCUCUACCAAAUCACACUUCAUCAUUAGGUUGUCGAACUCUGCUGUAUAGUCUUCCACUGACAAUUCCUUUUGCUUGAAGUUGUGGAACUUAAGGUAGAUAUCUUGCCUAUAGUUAUCGGGCAAAAACUUUCUCUUAAGCUCUUUUUUCAUUUUCUCCCAAGUAACAAUUUUCCUUCGUCCCUCUUGUUCCCUUUGCCUCUUAAGAUUUUCCCACCAUAAAGAAGCAUACUUUUUAAGUUUAAUGGCAAUGAGUUUCACUUUGCGAUCUCUAGGCACAUCUCUGUAUUCAAAAAUGCGUUCAACAGUAUUAAGCCAAUCAACAAACUCUUCUGGUUGCAUUCUUCCUUCAAAUUCAGGAAUUUCGACCUUGAAGUCGAAAGGCUGAUAAGAAUCGCGACGCCUAUGAAUUCGAGAACGAGAAGAAAAUUCACUAUUGGAGCUUUGUUCAUGAUGGAAGAGAUUAUAAUCUACCCCGUCAUUGAUUGAGCUUUCUUCUUCUGAACUACCAUUAGGAGCAGCUUCUCGAGUUCCUUCAAGGUGUUGUAAUCGUUGUUGAAGCUGUUCUACUUGUCUUCUAAGAUCAUCCCUUUCUAUAUCACCCAAGUCCCUCUCACGAACAUGAGGCUCUGCAACUCUUGCAUUACGCCGACGUCGUUGAGCCAUAAAUUUUCAAAACCCAAUGCUCUGAUACCAAAUUUGACACCAGACACAAUAAAUGAGAAAACACAACGUCACACACCUAAGAAAUCACAAGCUCACCACCACAGCAAACAACAAAAGGAUACAGAAAAAUUCACCACAUAAAGUUGUUAAGCUAAGGAUACAGGGCUUAAAAAUACUCACCACUCAAUGGAAUCCACCAAAGAGAUACAGAGUUUGAUAAUAACUCAAAGUUCAUCCAAUUCCCAAAAUUAAUCUCUAUCCUUUGGUUAUAACUACAUAAGCUUAAAUAACUUUCUUGGAACAAUCCUCCAAGCAUAGAUAUACUACAAAGAAACCCUUCAAAUGACUUGGCUUCAAAGACCAACAUUAAAGCUAGACAUUAAUAAAACAUUGGUAUGCUUAAAACACAGCAAAGAGCAUUAAAAUAAAGUCCAAGUCCAGAAAUAUUCUUCUUGACUCAAAAUUGAACAGCUUGCACUUAACUGAUCAUAACUUACUGUAGAAAGCUCCAAAUUUAGAUUAGUAAAAUUCAUUGGAAAGCUAACAGCAAUAUCUUUCCAAUGAUGUAUGGCUCGAAAAUUAAUUCAAUCUCAUGCAGUACAGUUUAAUUCCCAAAGAUGCCCCUUCUACACAGAAAUUCUGCUCACUUGAUUAAUGUAAGAACUUGAACUGCACUUGGUAUAACUUGAAUACCAAAUAUUUCAAACAUCCCUGUGUUAGGUCUUCUCCGCAUUUCGACUGAUACUUACAAUAAAAAGAACUCAUUUUUGCGAUGAUGCAGUUUCGAAUAUCUAUUUGAACACAAAAAGUGUUUAAGAAAAGCUUCUCUAAUAAGUUAUUCCACCACAAAUGGCUAGUUUCGACUGCCUUGGGGAAGUGUCAAAUAGCCGUAUAUGUUGUCCCAUUCGUUACUCUUUUUCAUUGUUUCACUCGUUUGGGUUCGCUUGUAGUACGCGGCUGUAUCUCGUGCAGCCGCUUUUUAUUAUUAUUUUAAUUGAUUUUAUAACCGGCCACCGGUUGCCCCUUGUUUUCAUGGGUUAUAGUGGAAAAUAUUAAUGGUAAAUAUCAUAUAGAUACCCUCAUUUUAAGUAAAUGACAAAAUAAUCAAUUUAAAUUAUGAAACAACCAAAUACCCCCUCAACUUUACAUUAAAAUUCAUUUAAAAAAUAAGAUUUCUAUUUUUUCCCCUCAAAAUAUGUGACUUCUUACUAAUGAGAAUAUUAUUUAAAUAUAAUUAAAUAAAUAAUAUAAUUAUAAAUUAUUAAAUAUUAAAUAUUUUUGUAUUACAUUAUAAAUUUAAUGAUAUUUUGCAUAAAAAAUACCAAUAUUAUUUUAUUCAUUUUUUUUUAUAAAGCAAUGCAAUCUGAAUAUCUAGACCCAUAAUUAAUAAGAUUUAUUUUUAAAUAUUUGGAAAAAAAUCAAUCUUACAAUACAUAUAGCAAAUUAAUUCAUACAAACUUAUGUGAAAUUAAUUAAUUAAUUAAUUUUUUAUGCUACAUCAUUUUGAUGAUUACAUUUAUUCACUAUUUUCAAGUUACAACAUUUUAUUAAAUACUUAUAAUAGACACUUCUAUAUGUUAAAUGUAAUAUUAAUUUUUUAUCUAUUGCUUUUAGUAAUAUUGUAAUUAAUGAUUUAUAAUAUUAAACUUUUUUUUAUAUUGUUAGUAACCAUCAUUACUUUUUUUUUUAUAUUGUUAGUAACCAUCAUUAGUACUUUGUUAGCAAAUAUUAAAUUGAUGAAGAUGAACUCAACUAUGAUAUUUAAUUAUUUAUUAUUAGUAUUAGACAUUUAUUAUUAGAAUGUGUAUAGUCUAUAGUCUACAUAUAUGACAUUAUUUUUAUUUUAAUAAUGUAGCUAUUAAUAUCAUUUUAAAGGUGGGGCAUGUGAGAGCCCAAAUAUAAUUGUUAACAAUAACCUUCCACAUGAUUUAACUCGGGACAUACGCCAAAUUUUUAUAAAUGAUUAUAUAUACAUGUUUUUAGAUAAUUAUACCCCAUGAUUGUAAUGACCUAAAUUCAUAAUGUAAUUACUAUGUAACAUAGAUAAUAAUUAUUUCUUAUUCCUUAGUAUAGUAACAAUCAAUUUCCUCCUCGUCUAUGUGAGCAGAGUUCCAACCCUUAAUCAGGUGGCACCCACAAGAAAAACUAUAAUUUGAAUACAACUAAAUAAUGUUGUGUUUAUUAUAUUUACCAUUAUAUAUUUUAAGCAUGACACAAUUACAAUUUUCUUAGUAAUAAAUCAAGUGUCACUGAAAUAUAACAAUAAAAAAAUAAGUAGCAUUUAGAAUACAAAUUAUAAAAAUAAGUAUAAUUAUAUCAAAUUAAUUUACUAACAUAAGUAAAUUAAAAUGAAAUGAACAAUUUUUCAUUUAGGCGGGCAAAACUCUUGCUAAAUGGAAUAUUUAACAAUACUUUAUUGUUAACCUAUAAAAUUGAAAAUUUUUAAUUUUUAUUAAAAGUAUAUAGACUUCAUAUUUUACUUCAUGAGAAACCCUAGCCGCUCUAACCAAAAUUCUUCAUUUUCCUCUCUCUCUUUCUCUGCUCUCAACUCUCGCGCUGCCAUUUUUUUUUUUCUUUAAUCAGUGCUUAACGUUCUAUAAUCUCCACUCUACACUGAUUUUUCAUGUCUCCACUCUUCAACUUCUAUUUCAAUAUCCACAAUAUGUGGACAUUUAAUAUAUAUAUAUAUGUGACCUCUGGUGUCACUUUGUAUGAAAAGUUUGAUAUGGAUCUGGGUAACCUUUAGGAGAAAGUUUUCAAUUUUGGCCUUGAUGAGGUAAUAUUUUUAAGUUAUUUUCUUAGUGAUUUAAUUCUUUGGGAUCAUAUGUUUAAUAAUCUGGAUCUUUUUUUUUCCUUAAUUUUUGAAUGGUGGUUACUGGUUGUGGUUUAAAGCUACUGAAGGUAUCGAUGCAAUGCAAGAAUCUUUUGGCAAGUGUUCUCCUUGGUAACGCUAGAGCUUAAGAUUUUAGGAUUGUAAGUUUUCUCUUUUUUCAGGCUCUGUCAUUUUAACAUUUAAUUUGAACUGCUUUGGAUACUAUAUAUUUAUAGUAUGCUCUGUAUUGUUAUGCUCUGUUUAUAAAAUCUAAUAUGUAAAUAAAAAAAAGGUGUUAUUUUUAGUGUUAUGUUUGUGAUAAAAGUUGCCGCUAAUGAGUGGUGACUUACAUGGUGAUGGAUAAAUUGGAAGUGAUGCCAAAUUAAUUUGGCGUCUCCACUUUUCAAUUUUUAUUUCAAUCUCCACUCUCUAGUGCUUGAUCUGGUGGCACUUUUCUUUUUUCCUCAAAUUUUAUGUAAUCUCGUGCCAUUGUUUAUGGAUUGAGAUAUGGUUUUGAUUAUUUGGAUUAGCUGUGAUGACCUUGUUUUUUUUGGCUCUUUAAUAUUUCUUAAAUUGUCAUGCAUGAACAUUUUGUUUGCUUCCUAAUAUGAAUGUUGUCCCUGAUCAGUCACUUGUUGCAACCUCUCCAAUUUUUCAUUCUUUUUCCAUUUUUUUUCUUGAGUUUCUAUUUUUAAUUUUUCAUUCGGAGGAUUUUGAUAUGCUCGUUACAGUUUUCUUUAAUCACAGGAGUAAAUAAAAAUAUGAUAUGGAACAAUAAUUCAUAACAGGAAUGGAAAUGGUAGAAAAUUAGAGAUUGAACUCUUGUUAUUUUAAUUUGUUAUCUUUGUGGUAUUACAAUAUCUUAAGAAUUGUGAAGUAAUCUACUCCUAUUUUAUUUUAUUUUUUUAACUAAUAUGUAUGUCUAAAGGUUCAAUUAUAUUUCAGUGAUACUACUAAUGGGAACUUCUACUAGUGUUUCAGCAUGUGUAAAGAAGAUUCAAUUUAAUUGAGUAUUUUUGCCAAUGUAAUUGAUUAGCAUUUUUCUUUUAGUUAUAGGAGACAUUUUAAUGAUCUUAAACUUGCAUAGUUUUUAAUGUUUCAGUUGAAAUUAUAGUUAUUUGUUUGUUGGAUUUAAUUUAAUUUGCUUUAUUGUUUAUUGGAUUUUGUUGCUUGUCUUAAUUCCUUAGAUUAUAGUUGUAACAUGUAAUAUGAUUGAGUUGCUAUUUUAAAAUAAAGAAACAUUUACAUGUUAUUUGAUUUUUUUGUUAUUUCCCCAUAGUCUAUUUGCUUAAAUGUCAAUUUUUCUUAUGAUAUGAUAAUCUACAUGCCAUAUUGUUUAAUUUUACUAGUUAAAAUGAAUUUGUGGGUAAAUGGAAUUUAGAAAAUAAGAUAGGCUUGCCUUGUAUGAGAUAUAUGUAUUAUGAUAAACAAUCUUAUUGGAUAAGCUGAUUUUUUUAUUUUUUUUCAGUGGUUCGAGAUAAAUGUUUAUAUUAUAUGUGUGAUUAAUUUUCUUAAUUACUAAUUAAUCAUUAAUUGAAUCAGGUAAACUAAGGUGUAAAGGGCAAUAUUAUAUCUCUUCUUUUGGAUCCAAGUACUUUGAAUCAGUUUUUUUUUUCAUUCAAGGCAUUGGUUAUAUUGUAAAAUUCAAUUUCUUGGGGAUCAAAGUACUUUGGCUUCAUAUUUGUUUUUUGUUUUUCGUUAAGGAAUAAAAAGAUACUUAGUUUGAGGCUCUUUGUAAAUUCGUUUUCAAGAGAAGUUUUUUUUAGUUAAUUAAAAUUGAAUUUUAGUAAUAUACUUUACAGUUUCAAUUAUUAAAGAGAGGAUUGGUGGUUUUGCAUAUUGAAAAUACUACAAAAGGGGAUUGGAACAUAGUUUGAGGGUUUUGACCUUGACAUUGGUUGACUUUCCCUCUCCCCCUCCCCCCAAAAGGAGUCAUUUUGUAUGAGAUUAAUUGCUAGGAUGAGUCAUUUGUAUGUUUUCAUAUUAGAUGUUGUAUCAUGGUAUAUAUUGUUCAUUUAUGAAUGAAUCAAUAGUCCAGAAAAUUUUGAUCUUGUUAAUUCUGGAUGUAUUUUUAUCUCUCUUUAUUCCAAAGAUUACUUUGUCAUUAAAUGAAAGUAGACAUAAAGGUUGCAUCGAACAAUUAUGCAAGUCGAGAGUAAUUUUUAUAUUUUGAAUAUUUUUGUUAAUAAAUUCCUUAAAAAAUAUAUGUUAAAUUAAAAUAUGUUUUUGUGUUUAUUUUAGAUUAAAUUCUUAAUUUUUCUGUUGAAAACAAAAUAUAUUCGAUGCUGCCUAAGAAUUUGGAUCACGCAUUUGAAAUUCUGAAUAUUGUUGUCUAUUUUGUGGUUGCAUUGUGUUUUCUAAUGCCAUUUGUUUUUUUUUUUUCUCUUUUUUUGUGUAGACCCUUGAAAUCCAAAAUAAGCAGCAGCUGAAGUCUAGUUUGUGCAAGUUGUAAAUUGAUUUAAUUUUUUGAAGUUAUUUGGUCACAAGCUUGUAAAAAAUUCUAAUUGUUUUAUUACAUCUAUUUAAAUGAAUGGAAAUUUUAGUUUAGUUAAAUUUUUAGUGCAUCGCAUAAAAUAAUAGGGCAUUUAUUAUUUUAUUUGCAAAGGAAUGGCAACUAAUCAAGAGUACCAGCCAAUUUUGUUUGUUUUUUAGAAAGGGUAAUUUUUGGAUACUUCCCAUGAGGUUUGGCCUUGCUACACUUAGAUAGAAUGUAUGCAUAUAUUGACAUAUAGCACCUCUAGACGUGUAUAAGCGUUUGGUAAACGGGGAUAAUUUUAUAAUUGCAAAAGUUUUAAUUUUUAAAUCUUAAAAAAUUAAUUGAAACAAACCAAUGGCUCUCACACACAUCCUCCUCUCUCCUCCACUUGAACCACAAUGAUUUUAUCGACGUCACGCCUGCGAUGGACUCCAUCAUCGCGGCCGUCGAAUCCGCCGAUUUGAAGAACACCAAUAGCGAGAACAUGAACAAUGCAAAUACUAAUAACAAGAGCAAAGGAAUGGUGGUUGAGAGUGGCGCCGACGAAGUUGUGAACUAGCAGAAUGCGAGUAUUAGGCGGAGAUAUUGUCGCAUCCGCUAUACAAGCAGCUCCUCUCGGCACAGGUGGCUUGCUUGAGGAUCGCCACACCGGUGGAUCAGCUGCCGAGGAUUGAUGCUCAGCUUGCUCAAUCGCAGCAAGUUGUCUCUAAGUACUCCGCUUUAGGUGCCGGUCAAGGCUUGGUUACUGAUGACAAAGAGCUCGAUCAGUUCGUGGUGUGUAUUAUGUAUUCUAAUUUCAUAAAGUUAUUAUUGAUUUUAAAUUUAAUUUCUUUUCCAUUUUGUUUGCUUGCUUGAUUGCUUUCUUAUCUUAUUAGAAUCUUGAAUUUUAAACUCAUAGAGGAAUUUAUUGUUGUUACUAUUGACUAAUUCGAGGCAUUAUACAUAAAAAAACAAUGCUUAUACACGUCAGAGAGCAUUUCUUUUUAUUGCAAGUUGAUUUGUUCUAUUCUCAAUUAAUGAAGGAUAUUAUUAUAAUUUCACAGAGAAACCAAACAGUUCCCUAAUGCUUAUACACGUCCAGGGAUGCUAUAUGCAUACAUUCUAUCUAAGUGUAGCAAGGCCAAACCUCAGGGGAGGUAUCCAAAAAUUACCCUUUUUAGAAAUGAAUUAGUCAUGCCAAAUUCAUACCAUUAAAGGUUGUUAGAUUGUUAUAUUCUCGUAGUACCAAAUUAAUUGUUAAAAACUUUUAAAAAUGAUUUUAGUCAAGUCACGAUAAAUUGAAGAAUUAAUUUUGUUAUUGAAAAUUUGACUUCAAAUAAUUUAUUUUUAAGAUAAAAAAGUAUACUUUUGGUGUAACAUAUCGAAAGAUCAAAAGUAAGUAUAAACAAAAUUAAGUUCAAGAAAAAGAAAUCUAAUCAAGUUAAAGAGACAGAAAAGCAUAGCAAUUGGCUGCAUUCUUAUAUGGUAUUAUUGUUUAAGUUAUAGCAAAUUAAGGAAAUUAUUUUAAAAGUAAAGAAAAAGAUGAAAAUAAAUCUAUAAAGUUAUUUUAAACGUAAAUCAUUUAAAUUAAUUAAAAUGGAGACAAGUGGUCCAAAAGAAUUACAAUUUUCUUUUUUUUUAGUUAAAAUUAUCAUGAUAUACUUGAAUUUAGACAUUUUUUAUUUGAAAUAGAAUUUUAUUUUUAAAUUAUAAAUUUUUCAGAGCAAAAUGAGAAAUGAUAAAUGAACAAAUGUUUGUGUAAAGGUCAAAAGCUCAAGUAUGGAUAAUCAAAUUAAUGAUUAAAAUGAUCUCUCAAAAUAAUGAAUAACAAUUAUUUUAAUCUUUUUUCUCUUUGAAAUACAAACAAAGCAUUUUUGCCAACCUCAAAACUUUGAUAUAACAUAUUAAUUUUCAUGGUUCAUGGAAUAAUCGUAUAAUAAAUAUAUAUUUUAUUUUAUCAUAACCAUUAAUGUUUGAGUAUAACAAUUGCAUGCAAAGCUGUUAAAAAUAAAUUUUGGAUGAAGUCAAAUAAAUUAAUUAUUUGAAAAGAAAUAGAAUGGCAAAAAUUUUAAAUGAAUUGAUAAAAAAAUUAUUUUUCCAGAAGCUUGUAAAAAAUUCUUAUAAACAAAUGGAUGAAAAUUUUGAUUUGGUUAAUUUUUUAGUGCACUGGAUAAAUUAAUAGGGCGUGAUAAUUUCAUUUACAAUUGCAAUCAUUCUCACUUGUUAUUUAUUUAUUUAUUUACCGUUGAAGUUAUGAAAAAUUAAAGCAAUUAGUUUGAAAAGUAAAGAGAAAGAUGAAAAUAAAUGCAUAAAUUUAUUUUAAAUAUAACUAAAUACUGUAAAUUAAAAUGUUUAAAUGAGAAUAAAUUGUAUAAAGAUUAAAAGAUUAAGUAUAGAUACAAUCAAGUUCAAAAGAACUCAUGAAGUAACGAAGAGAAAAAAAAAAAGACUUAGGUUAAGGACCCAAAAUGUUGAAAAUGAUAAAGGGUUGCAAUAAAAAAAAUUCAGUAUUAUAUAUUAAAUUGAUAUUUGUUAAAAUAAUAAGGGGUUAAAUAUAAUUGGCCUUAUUGAUAUUGUUGUUAUUUUAAAAAAAUUAUUAUUAUUAUUAGUUGAAAAAAGGACCUGGAACAUGCACCUAUAGUGUUGGAAUAUAAUGAAAAUAAUAGGAAUAUAAAACCAUUGUAAAGUGUAAAAGAGUAUAAACAACUUAACCUAAAAGUGGAAAUAAUUAUAACAGAAAACAUGAAUUUAUGAAGUAAACUUGAAUCAUCACCUAAAAUAUUGGAAUACACUUAAAAGAGUAGGAAUAUGUAACCAAAAAAUUUUGGAAAUAAAGUGGGAAUUAAUUAACAAAAAGUAGGAAUAUAAAAAAUGAACUUGAAAUAUCUACUCAAAAUAUUAGAAUUCAAUACAAAGAGUGGGAAUAUAGAACUAAAAAAUGGUGGGAAAAUGAGUGGAAGAGCAAAACCUAAAAUUUGGAAUAACUUAAUAAAAAUUUGAUAAAUUCCAAUGAAAAGUAGAGAUCUGAAUAAUGAACUUGAAACAUUUACACAAAAUGUUGGAAUUCAAUAAAAAAAGUAGGAAUAUAGUACCGUGGAAAAAAGAGUUGAAUAAGUUAACCCAAUAGUUGGAACAACUUAUAAAGAAUGUGAUGAAAUCCAAUGAGAAGUAUGGAUCUUAAAAAUGAACUUGAAUUAUUAACCCAAAAUAUUGGAAUUUAGUAAAUAAAUGUAUGAAUAUAUAACCAAAAAGUGGUGGUAAUAAUAGUUGAAGAGUUUAACCCAAAAGUUGUAAGUAUCUACCAAUAAUAUGAUAAAUUCCAACAGUCAAUAAGGAUCUUAAAAAUAAACUUGAAACAUCCACAUAAAAUAUUGAAAUUUAAUUAAAAAAGUAGGAAUAAAGAACCAAAAUGUGGUGGAAAAAAGAGUUGAAAAGCUUGAUCUAAAUUUUGAAAAAACUUAUCAACAAUCUGAUAAAGUCAAACAGUAAGUAGGAAUUUAAAAAAUAAUCUUGAAACGUCCAUGCAAAAUGUUGAAAUUCAAUUAAAAGAGUAGGAAUAUAGAACCAAUAAAUGGUAGAAAAAGAGUGGAAACGCUCAACCUAGAAGUUGAAAUGACUGGACAAAAAUUUGAUAAAUUCUAAUGAAAAGUAGAGAACCAAAAAAUAAAGUUGAGACAUUCACCCAAAUAUUGGAAUUCAAUAAAAAGAGUAGGAAUAUUAAACCAAAAAGUGGUGGGAACAACAAUUGAAGAGCUUAACCCAAAAAUUAUAAGUACAUACCGAUAAUUUGAUAAAUUUCAACAAUAAAUAGGAUCUAAAAAAUGAACUUGAAAUAUAACAUAAAAUGUUAGAAUUCAAUGAAAAGAGUAGGAACAUAAAACCAAAAAGUGGUAGAAAAAAGAGUUGAAGAACUUAACCUAAAAUUCGGAAAGAGUUACCAAGAAUAUGAUAAAUCCAACAAUAAGUGGGAUCAAAAAAUAAACUAGAAACAUUUAUGAAAAAUAUUGGAACUAAAUAAAAAUAGUAGAAAUAUAUAACUAAAAAAUGGUGGAAACAAGAGUUGAAUAGCAUAACCUAAAAGUUUGAAGGACUUAACAAGAAUAUGAUAAAGUUUAACAAUAAGUCGAGAUCUAAAAAAUAAACCUAAAAUAUCCAAGCAAAAUGUUAGAAUUCAAUGAAAAGAGUUGGAAUACAGAACCAAAAAGUGAUGGGAACAAGAGUGGAAGAAGUUUACCCAAUAAUUGAAAUAACUUACUAAGAAUUUGAUAAAUUUUAACGCGAAGUAGGGAUCUAAAAAGUAAAUUUAAUAUUUUUACCCAAAAUAUUGGAAUUCAAUAAUAAGAGCAGGAAUAUUGAACAAAAAAGUGGUAGAAGAAUAAGUUGGAACAACUUAGUAAUAAGAUAAAGUCUAACAGGAUAUAGAGAUAUAAAAAAUAAAAUUGAAAUAUCAACCUAGAAAUUUGGAAUUUAAUGAAAAGAGUAGAAAUAUAGAACCAAUAAUUGGUGGAAAAAUGAGUUGAAACAACUUACCAAGUAUUUGAUAAAUUCUAACGGAAAGUAGGGAUCUAGAAAUUGAACUCGAAAUAUCCAAACAAAAUGUUGGAAUUCAAUCAAAAGAGUAGGAAUAUAGAACUAAAAAGUGGUGGGAACAAGAGUUGAAGAAAUUAACCCAAAAGUUGAAAUAAUUUACCAAGAAUUUAAUAAAUUCAAAUGGGAAGUAGGGAUCUAAAAAAUAGACUUGAUAUAUUUACCCAAAAUGUUGGAAUUCAAUAAAAAUAGUAGAAAUAUAGAACUAAAAAGUGGUGGAAAAAUAAAUCGGAACAAUUUACCAAAAACUAGAUAAAGUGUAACAGAUUGUAGAGAUAUAAAAAUAAACUUGAAAUAUCCACCUAAAAAGCUGGAAGUUAUUGAAAUGAGUAGAAAUAUAUAACCAAAAACUAGUGAGAAAAUGAGUUGGAACAACGUACCAAAAUUUUGAUAAAUCAUCAAGAAAAAUAGGGGUUUGAAAAGUAAACUUGAAACACGUAUUAUAAAUAUUGGAAUGCGACAAAAUAAGUAGGAAUAUAACCAUUUUGUGACAUAUUUAUAGUUUUUUAUAUUUUUUUGUACUAUUUAUAAAUUUAAAAUUAUCACAAGUUUUUUCCUCAUUUAAUUACAAUUUUAUCUUCUUUUUUUAAUUUUUUAAUAUUUUUUUCACAUUAAAAACAAAUAAAAAUGUAAUUUUUAUUUUAUUAACCGGUUAAAAACCGGUUGUACCGGUUGCAUGCCAACGCUGUAUGAGAUACAGCGCUGCAUGGUAGGUGGUUUGCAUACACGAAUACAACAUUAUGCAGGCUAAUUAGUUAAAAAGGGAAUGGCUAGGGCCGACAGAUGGAUGACGAGGAGCAUAGCUCACCUAACCCCAUCUUCCAAUAAAUAGUAAUUUUCCAUUUAUUAAUGGAAAACUCUCUAGUUCUUUAGCACUACUCUUUAUUAAUUGUUCUACAAGCCUCCUCUCUCAUGCAAUAAGUACACUUGGUUUUUCUUUUUUCUUUUUUCUUACAUCGCACCAAACGUGUCAAAAACGACAAAGUUUAAAACUGAUUUUGUGUUUUGCAGUGCAACAACUGUUGACUUAAUUAUGAUUAAUGAGUGCUUCCGUCCCUAAUUUUCGAGCAUAGCUAAAUACGUUUGCCUGGCUUGACCCGUUUACUAGUGCGUUACAACCAAAAGACUGAUGGUGAUCAAGUGGGUUAAUCCAGUUGUUAUGAGCCUAUAGCAUUUGCUUUUGACUCGACAAAGCAAUUUAAAAAAAACGCCAUUUUGGAUACCCAUACAUCACGUACUAAAUCCAAUUGCUUGGCGUGGUUUCCCUAUUAGCCUUCAGUUCUUGACUCAAUAAGUAAUUUCCAGCUAGUUUCCAUAGGUUUUAAUUCCACAUUUUACUUAGCAUGAUGAUAGAGAAUAGGGAUGGCAAUGGGGUGAGGUGGAUGUGGAGAGGACUACCCUAUUCCCGAUUUUAUUAAAAAUCUCGCCUUUAUUUCUCACUUCAUUCUCCAAUAAAUUUAGAGUGAUGGGGAAAGAAAAUCCUUAUUUAGGGAAUAAUUUUCUCAUUCCCCAUUUAUUUAUUUCAUGGUAGGUAUUGAUACGUGAUUUUAGUAAAUUAAAAAUUAGAGAUUUAAAUAAAAUCAUUAUCAUAUUAUAAAGUAUUUGAAUUAUUUUAAAAAUCUCCAAAAUUUUGAAACAAUAUUUUCAACUAUAUCAAAACUGAAAAAUAUUUGAAGAGAGCACUACUUAAUAAAUAAAAGAAAAAAAUAAUAAUGUUUUAGAGUUGAAUAAGAAUUAUAUUGUAGGGUUUUCUUUUAGUUAUAACUUAUUUAUAUUAGGUAAAAAUAAAAAAGAAAAUUUGUUAACCAACAUUGUAUUUGAUAAAACAAAAAUUAGUAAAUAAAUAUUAAAAAAUAUUUAUAUAUAAUAGGGAGUGAGGUGGGGGUGGGGGUGGGGGUGGAGUGGAGAAUACAAAAUCAAAUUUCAUCCCAUUAAGAGUUUGAGAAUUAUUUUUCUCUCAUUCUCUACUCUAUUCUCUAAAAAUUAUUUAAACCCCAUGAGAACACAAAUCCGUGUAAGAUUUUGUCAUCUCUAAUCACGAAAUCUUGAAUUUUCUCUUGCACGCAAGUCACAAGGUGUGUGCUAUUAGAUCUUUUGACAUAAUUCAGCUGGUUGUAGAUAUUUUCACCCAAAUUCAAAUAACAAUAAAAAAUAAUGAUUGGUGUUUAGUGGUUUAAGUUUUUCAUCUCCAUUUAAUUUUUAAAAUAAAAUAAAUAAAUAAAUAAUUUAUGCUACUAGAACGUCUAGACGAAGCAAAACCAAACCAGUAAUUAACAAUUAAAAAACAAUUACUCGGUUGAUAAUAUUGGCAGGGGAGGUGAUUUUAUGAUUUUAUUGGUUGCUUUAAAACGGUUGAGAUUCACUCUCAGCUACUGUCACUGACUCAUGUAGCACUACUUAAAAAGUCUGCGGGUGGCAAAAGAAGCAUCCAAAAUAUGAAAGAGAGACGAGUGUUAGAACUUAGGCGUAAAUUGAAAAACCUUUAUGUGGAAACCACUAGAACAUCUCUAAAAGACCCUUCAAAUAGAAAUAAAUUAAUAUUAUUUUAAUCAAAUAAAUAUUUUUUAAAGGAAAAAUAAAUGGUAAUUAAAACACUUCUCUCUCUCAAUAAAAAGUAUUAAAAUAUAAAUUAAAAAGGGAGAAAAUAACUCGACAAAAUUGAAGAAAGAGAAUUAUUUCUUAUUUGAAGAAUUUUAAUUUUAGUGUUUUUUGGAGUCUUAAAUGUUGAUGUAACUCUUCAAAUAAGUAAUAAAAUCUUAUUUGAAGAGUUUUUUUGGAGAUACUCUAAUUUUCUGCUAAUAAUUAUGAUAAUGAGUCCAAUUCAUUUCAAAUAAGGGUCUUGAGGGGUAAAUAAUGGGGUCUACAUUUACGCAUCAUCAAUCUAAUCUAACUCUCUAGUCCCAAGAGGAAGAAAAGAUGUGGCAAUUUCCCCUCAGCAGCAGCCCUCAAGGCCUCUACUAUAAAUAUGGCCAUUAACAUUUGUUAGCAGCCCAUCUCAUAAGCUUCCUCCUUCGUACUGCUAACAAAGAUUUUGAUAUUUUGCAAAUGGGGUUAUGUCAAUACUACCUUCUUUCCGUCGUGCUGCUUUUGCCUGCAUUGUGUUACUCUCAGUUCACGUUCACAAGUUCUAGAGCUACAUUCUAUGGUAGCCCUGACGGCCUGGGGACACCAAGUAUGUACAAAUCUCACCUUUAUAAAGCUAUGUACAUUAAACCCGUGCACAAGUUUACGCGAACUAAUAGUUCAUUUCAUUAUGCUUUAGAGAAUUUUUGUUUUGGUAUUUGUUUAUCUUUUAGAUUAACUAAUGUUCAUGUUGAUGAUUCAUCAGCUGGUGCUUGCGGGUUUGGUGGAUAUGGAAGAACUGUAAAUGAUGCUAACGUGGCCGGUGUGUCGAGGCUUUGGAAUAAUGGAACUGGUUGUGGAACUUGCUAUCAG
rnacentral:lncRNA from 1 species